GUUCCUUCUUUCAGAGCAUAACACAUAUAUUAAUUAACACGCUUCAAGAAAAUCUUCACAUUAGUCUAGUCUAGUAACUUAUUUAUCGUUAGUUCCUUGCGUCUUGGGCUAGCUUGGACCAGUCGUUAGGCACGUCGAACCACGGUAAUACUAUAGGAUUGCUCUCAAUGGGGACAAUGUUUAGCAUUAGGCGAUGUUCAUUAAUUUUCUUUAUGGAAGUUCUUUGGUUAUAGGAGCUGGUGGUAAAGAAGUCGUAAAGGUCUAAGACUUUGCAAACAAGAAAGUAAUAAUUGUACACAGUGUACAAGUUGCAAUGGGAAUAAUCUCUGAGAGGAUACGAGAGAAGAUCGAUAUCCAUUCCACAAGACAGAGUGGCCCUUCAAAUAAAACUGUUCUGCAUGCAAUUUACAGGCUAAGGUACAUCUAAUUUUAGAACCAAUGAGCUAAUUCGUGAUCCUAAUAUUGACAUUUGAGAGUUGUCUUUUGUGAGAAAAUAAAUGGUAAUAUAUGCAUACGACUUAAACAAAGCAUUUUUUACAACACACAAUUUUAUCUCUAUGUGCACUAAAAAAGUUUAGCUUUAUCUUUUUUUUUCUUUUUUUGCAGAGAUGUCUAAACAUGUGUUUUAUUAAGGCCAAAGCAAGUGUGACCAUGCCGCACGCUCAAGCUAAGAGCAUCUCUACCAGAUCUCUUAUACUCUCCCAUACCCCUUAAAUAGGAAAUGUAACACCUACAACAGGUCUCCUAUCACAUCUUUGUAUCUCUAUGUUCUAUAGGAGAUCUCCUAGAUCUACCACCAUCUCUCCUAAAAAAGAAAGACCUUGCCCUCUUCUAAAUUAUGAUGAGGUCUGGAUAAUCGGGUGAAGCUAGUCUCUCGUACCCUAAAGUUACUUUUGAGAGAUCUCUAUAGGAGAGAAAGAAUAGGAGACUUCACUACGGGACACAGAGGCUUUACCGAGUGUCUCUGGCACUCGGCAAAGGCCUAAAUACACUCGGCAAAGCUUGAUGGAGAUGCUCCAACUCAAGAGGCUGAGUUACAAAUGUCUUAUUACUGAAGUAGCCUUUGGUGACCUACCCAAUACUUACGGACCAUUCCCUCCGUUCCAAAUUAUA
rnacentral:lncRNA from 1 species